GGCGCAGGCGGCUUCUCAAGUCGGGUGUAAAAUCUCCCUGCUCAACAGGGAGGGAUCAUCCGAUACUGUCAAGCUAGAGAGUAGCAGAGGGAGGCGGAAUUCCCGGUGGAGUGGUGAUAUGCGUAGAUAUCGGGAAGAACACCAGCGGCGAAGGCGGCCUCCUGGGCUAUUUCUGACGCUGAGGCCCGAAAGCGUGGGGAGCGAACA
rnacentral:rRNA from 1 species